AGGGCAGGUUGGUCAUUACGGGGAUACGAGGAACCAACUUUCUGGUUUGGUUUCAGUUGGGUGAGGAUCCCUUUCGGUUACAUUCAUUUUUUUCACUGACUGAAUCCAACGAACAACAAUAACAAUGAAAGAAAGAGGGAGUAAUGACACAUCUCCUUUGUUCCGUAUGACUAAAUGUCUUUCUCUCUCCUUCCUUCUCACUCUUUUACCUUAUUUCGUCUGCCUAGCGGAGUUUGGAGACUGAUGGGUUGAUGAAAAAUGGGAUAAAGUAGAGAGAGAGAGCAGGAGUCUUGACCAUUGGCGUUCGCUUUCGUGUAGGCGUUGUUUCCAGCUUCCAUGCGUGACACGUAGAGUUUUUUGCGAGUCUUUUUUAUUGCAUUUUAGGUUAAUUUUUUAUCACUAUUUUUAUAUUAUUGAUAUUGAUCAUCAUCACUAUUUUUACUUCUUAUAAAAAUCUUGUGCUUGAUCACCUUCUGGCUUCUGGAGUUCUUAAACCGCUUUUAUUCAUCUACCCCGAUGAUUGGUGUGACAUAAUCUGAUGGAGUGAUGGGCAAAGACAUGUAAGCUGCCACGGCACCAACAAAACCCGGCGGAUAAAUCCCGGUGAACCCGCUGAGGUGGACAAAGCCCGAUGCACUCAUUGAACACAGCCCAUUGGACAUAGCCCGAUGGGCAAAGGCCUGUUGGACAUAACCAGAUGCCUAUGCAAUUUCUUAUUCUUGAGCCGCUGAGGCCGUUGGUUAAAGGCCUGUUGUGUCUCGAACUGCUACUAACUGACAGUUGAUCGAUGGCCUGACAAUCGAUCAGGGAGAGAGGGGUGGCGGUGGUGCCCUAGAAGAGAUGCUACUGACUGAUAGCUGAGUAGGAUCGAGGGCCUCAGCCUGACAGACAGGAGAGGGGAGCGGAUAAGAAAAAGAGAGAGUGUGGGAGCGAGAGGGAAAGAUGAACCAAGGAAGAAGAAGAAGCAAGGGAGAGAGUUCUUAGUGGGAAAGAUUAAUCUGUUUCUAUGUUCUUCUUUUCUCACUACGUUCGUUUUCCUUAUCUUCUUUGUCCUUUUUGUUCAUGUCAAGAGUUCUUGGUGGAUUUCUUAUUUUUGGAUGUUUCAAUAGAUUUUCUUGAUCGUUCGAGCUGCAUUGGUACUCCUAGGUGGGUUUUCGGAUUUCUUGGUUCGGGAGAGAAAUGAAUCUGGAGUUCUGGUCCUAUGGACUCGACAGUUGUUGAUUUGAGACUCAAGAGAUCUACCAUCUGGGGGUGGAAAUUCAAAUAAGCAUGACAAGGAUAAAGGUGUUAAUAUUCAGGUUCUUCUCCAUUGCAGACCCUUGAGCGAAGAUGAAAUGAGGGUCAAGAAACCGCAAAUGAAAUAUCUGCCACGCAGAACACAGCCAACAAGCAUAUUGAUAGAGCUUUUGUAUUUGACAAGGUUUUUGGUCCGGCAUCUCAACAGAAGGAUUUGUUUGAUCAAGCCGUUUCUCCUAUUGUCAAUGAAGUUCUUAAGUUCUUGAAGGUUAUAACUGCACCAUUUUCGCAUACGGUCAGACAGAAUAGGGAUUUAACAAAGUAAUGCGGGUGUUAUCCCUAGAGAUGUUCAACAAAUCUUUGACAUACUUGAAGCUCAAAAUGCCGAGUACAGCAUGAAGGUUACAUUUCUAGUACAAUGAGGAAAUAACCGAUCUUUUGGCUCCCGAAGAAUGCACAAAAUUCAUUGAUGACAAGUCAAAGAAACCAAUAACCCUCGUGGAAGAUGGAAAAAGGGGUGUUUUUGUGAGAGGCCUGGAAGAGGAGAUAUCGUCUGUACUGCAAAUGAAAUAUAUAAGAUCUUGGAGAAAGGGUCUGCUAAAAGAUCAUACUACAGAUACCCUGCUUAACAAGCAAUGCAGUUGCUCCCACUCAAUAUUUUCUACCACAAUCCACAUCCAAGGAGUGUACACCUGAGGGAGAAAAGAUGAUUAAAUGUGGAAUACUUAAUCUUGUUGACCUUGCUGGCUCUGAGAACAUAUCACAUUCUGGGGCAAGAGAGGUAUGCGGGCUACAGACAUACAUACAAGUGCACAACUUCAAAUAUUAACAUUCACACAUACACUUAAAAUGGCAUGCUUGUGGUUGUAGAUGUAGUAACAUUAAUUAAGACCACUCCAGUAGAACCUUUCUCUCUCUCUCUCUAUAUAUAUAUUUAAUUGUAAGUAGACCUAUGUUUACAGGGAAUAGCAAAGAGAAGAUGGAGAGGUUAAUAAAAGUUUGCUUACACUUGGUCGUGUCA